AUCCAGCUGACCGGUUCCAAAUAAGACGAAAUGAGCAUCAUGGAU
rnacentral:hammerhead_ribozyme from 1 species